GAUGAACGCUGGCGGCGUGCCUAAUACAUGCAAGUCGAGCGAACAGACGAGGAGCUUGCUCCUCUGACGUUAGCGGCGGACGGGUGAGUAACACGUGGAUAACCUACCUAUAAGACUGGUAUAACUUCGGGAAACCGGAGCUAAUACCGGAUAAUAUAUUGAACCGCAUGGUUCAAUAGUGAAAGACGGUUUUGCUGUCACUUAUAGAUGGAUCCGCGCCGCAUUAGCUAGUUGGUAAGGUAACGGCUUACCAAGGCAACGAUGCGUAGCCGAGCUAAGAGGGUGAUCGGCCACACAGGAACUGAGACACGGUACAGACUCCUACGGGAGGCAGCAGUAGGGAAUCUUCCGCACUGGGCGAAAGCCUGACGGAGGAACGGAGCGUGAGUGAUGAAGGGCCUCGGAUCGUAAAACGCUGUUAUUAGGGAAGAACAAAUGUGUAAGUAACUAUGCACGUCUUGACGGUACCUAAACAGAAAGCCACGGUUAACUACGU
rnacentral:rRNA from 1 species